GAACGCUAGCUACAGGCUUAACACAUGCAAGUCGAGGGGCAGCAUGGUCUUAGCUUGCUAAGGCCGAUGGCGACCGGCGCACGGGUGAGUAACACGUAUCCAACCUGCCGUCUACUCUUGGACAGCCUUCUGAAAGGAAGAUUAAUACAAGAUGGCAUCAUGAGUCCGCAUGUUCACAUGAUUAAAGGUAUUCCGGUAGACGAUGGGGAUGCGUUCCAUUAGAUAGUAGGCGGGGUAACGGCCCACCUAGUCUUCGAUGGAUAGGGGUUCUGAGAGGAAGGUCCCCCACAUUGGAACUGAGACACGGUCCAAACUCCUACGGGAGGCAGCAGUGAGGAAUAUUGGUCAAUGGGCGAGAGCCUGAACCAGCCAAGUAGCGUGAAGGAUGACUGCCCUAUGGGUUGUAAACUUCUUUUAUAAAGGAAUAAAGUCGGGUAUGGAUACCCGUUUGCAUGUACUUUAUGAAUAAGGAUCGGCUAACUCCGUGCCAGCAGCCGCGGUAAUACGGAGGAUCCGAGCGUUAUCCGGAUUUAUUGGGUUUAAAGGGAGCGUAGAUGGAUGUUUAAGUCAGUUGUGAAAGUUUGCGGCUCAACCGUAAAAUUGCAGUUGAUACUGGAUAUCUUGAGUGCAGUUGAGGCAGGCGGAAUUCGUGGUGUAGCGGUGAAAUGCUUAGAUAUCACGAAGAACUCCGAUUGCGAAGGCAGCCUGCUAAGCUGCAACUGACAUUGAGGCUCGAAAGUGUGGGUAUCAAACAGGAUUAGAUACCCUGGUAGUCCACACGGUAAACGAUGAAUACUCGCUGUUUGCGAUAUACUGCAAGCGGCCAAGCGAAAGCGUUAAGUAUUCCACCUGGGGAGUACGCCGGCAACGGUGAAACUCAAAGGAAUUGACGGGGGCCCGCACAAGCGGAGGAACAUGUGGUUUAAUUCGAUGAUACGCGAGGAACCUUACCCGGGCUUAAAUUGCAGAUGAAUUACGGUGAAAGCCGUAAGCCGCAAGGCAUCUGUGAAGGUGCUGCAUGGUUGUCGUCAGCUCGUGCCGUGAGGUGUCGGCUUAAGUGCCAUAACGAGCGCAACCCUUGUUGUCAGUUACUAACAGGUUCCGCUGAGGACUCUGACAAGACUGCCAUCGUAAGAUGUGAGGAAGGUGGGGAUGACGUCAAAUCAGCACGGCCCUUACGUCCGGGGCUACACACGUGUUACAAUGGGGGGUACAGAGGGCCGCUACCACGCGAGUGGAUGCCAAUCCCCAAAACCUCUCUCAGUUCGGACUGGAGUCUGCAACCCGACUCCACGAAGCUGGAUUCGCUAGUAAUCGCGCAUCAGCCACGGCGCGGUGAAUACGUUCCCGGGCCUUGUACACACCGCCCGUCAAGCCAUGGGAGCCGGGGGUACCUGAAGUGCGUAACCGCGAGGAGCGCCCUAGGGUAAAACUGG
rnacentral:rRNA from 1 species